rnacentral:lncRNA from 1 species
CAGACAAAUCAACCAAAGCCAGCAGCAAACCAGGCCCUGCCCAAACACCCAAAGAAACCCUCUCUACUGCAGCGUCAAAAUGGCCCAACCCAAACAGCCAUAGCACAGUGCACCUAAAGGCCUAACCCAACCAGUAGAAAUAUAAAUCUUCUCACUGCAGCAGAGCAAGACAUUCACAAUGACAAACAAAACCUAACUACCAACUCCACAUUAAAUGACCACACUACACCAUACAUGUUAUUAAGUGCAAAGACUUUAAUUGCAAUUCACACAGGCAAAAGGAUGUUCUUGAACAUUCGUUGUUAAAGGUUACGUCAGCAAUGCAAUUGCAGAUACUUGAAAUGAUUAGAGCUGUAAAAUACCUUUGCAAAUUUUCUGCUAGAAACCGAAAGGGAUACUUUCCAAAAGACUGGUACAUGAUGAAUAAGCACUGCAGUUAAUCUACGGAUAUACUUUCCUCCAAGAGCAUCAACUUAUUCACCUGAAAAUCAUAGUAAACUCAAUAAAAAUUUGCUAAAUUAUAAAAUAAAAUAAAAUAAAAUUUCAAAUUAUACAAAGGAAAAAAAACUAAAUUUCAAAUCAUAAUUUCAAAUUGUCUAUCUGGCCAUUCCCAUUCCCAAUCUUUGUUAGAUAUGUGGUGUGAUCUAGCAGCCAAGCUAACUGUAUUAACAGAUUUUUGAUACUCUCCUGGAUUUUGUAACCAAAAGGUUCCUCAACAUCAGAUUUAACUCAACAAAACCUUGAAAUCAUGACAGAAAAGCAAUUAAAUUCCAAUACAAAAGGUGAAACGAAGGAGGAACCCCCCCCAGAUAUUACUAGCCUAACUGAAACUUCUUACCAGACAAGCUACCAUCAAAGCACGGCUUCUUCCCCCAAGAGAAUCCUGCAAUAUCCGUGUCAAUUUGCUUUCUCUAUAAGGCACUCUAGAUCUGUUGUUAUUCAGUGCAUAAAUAACAUUUGACAAGGCAAAUAGAGACUGAUUUAUCUUGGCACUCUCCUGGAGGCGAAUGCCUUCAUUGCAAGUCCUUCUGUUAUCUUCGUUACCUAAUUAUAUCAAAUAUAAAGUUCAGACUGCGCAAAAGUCUACAAUUAACCUCUGGAUUCAAUUAUGUAAUUGAAUGUGAAAACUGUACAAGUUCUAAAAGACUGUGAGGAACCUGCUAAAUCUAUGACGUUAAGCUUUCCCAUCACAACAUUCCCUGAGCUAUCAUCACUAGGUGUGGAAACACAAACAACAAGCACCCCGUGGCUCCUACUAGAAACAUCGUUUAUACCCGUGUGUGCAACCUUCCGCCUCUGAAUUGCACAAGAAAAUGCCUCAUGAAAUUCAUGCAUCGAAUUGAUUGAAACUCGAGCCAGUCCCUUGAGAUGAAUCUGCCCAUCUUUGUCAUCCAGCACCGCGAUUUCUUUUGUUUUGGGUUCCAACAAAUCAUAACAUCUAUCCAUGUAGACCUCAUAGUAGGACAUCUCAGCCACACUCCCCGUACUCUGGCACAUAGACAGGAUGUUUGACAUGGCCAGAUGCACCAGACCUGGAAGUUCAUUGCCACCCUGCAGUAUCAUCCAUCCUCUAAAUAAUUUCAUGNNNNNNNNNNNNNNNNNNNNNNNNNNNNNNNNNNNNNNNNNNNNNNNNNNNNNNNNNNNNNNNNNNNNNNNNNNNNNNNNNNNNNNNNNNNNNNNNNNNNACAAACUCAAAAACUAUAAAACUACACAAAAAUUAUUUUUAAAAAGAGGAAAAACAAACCAAUCAGCUAGAGUCUUUAAAAAACGAAUCAACCAGCAGAAAUAUAAAUCUUCUCAUUGCAGCAGAGCAAGACAUUCACAAUGACAAACAAAACCUAACUGCCAACUCCACAUUAAAUGACCACUACACCAUACAUGCUAUUAAGUGCAAAGACUUUAAUUGCAAUUCACACAGGUAGAAGGAAGUUCUUGAACAUUCGUUGUUAAAGGUUACGUCAGCAAUGCAAUUGCAGAUACUUGAAAUGAUUAGAGCUGUAAAAUACCUUUGCAAAUUUUCCGCUAGAAACCGAAAGAGCUACUUUCCAGAAGACUGGUACAUGAUGAAUAAGCACUGCAGUUAAUCUGCGGAUAUACUUUCCUCUAAGAGCAUCAACUUCUUCACCUGAAAAUCAUAGUAAACUCAAUGAAAAUUUGCUAAAUUAUAAAAUAAAAUUUCAAAUUAUACAAAGGACAAAAAACUAAAUUUCAAAUCAUAAUUUCAAAUUGUCUGUCUGGCCAUUCCCAUUCCCAAUCUUUGUUAGAUAUGUGGCGUGAUCUAGCAGCCAAGCUAACUGUAUAAACAGAUUCUUGAUACUCUCCUGGAUUCUGUAACCAAAAAGUUCCUCAACAUCAGAUUUUAACUCAACAAAAC